UUAAUUAUAAUAAUAUGAAUAUAAUGAACUGAGUUGGAAAGACCAAAAAUAAUUUAAAGUAGAGAUUAUAAUGUUUUAGAAGAGGCGUAAAAUGAUCUAAAUAAUAAAUCGAAUCAAGCUUAAGCACAUCAGCAAGGAAAGGCAAGCUCUUUACCUAAAUUCUUUUUCCCUUCCUAGACAACAGUUUAAAGAAACUCAGAUUCUCAUGAGAUAGUGAAAGA
rnacentral:misc_RNA from 1 species